rnacentral:ribozyme from 1 species
GGGAACAAACCUGUUAGUUUCUUGUUGGUUCACUUUUUUUCACUUUUUUUCACACUUU